rnacentral:ncRNA from 2 species
UGAUCGUCGGUGGGAGAGAGCACAAUGUUCGUUUUUUGACCGAAAAACGAGCCUCCUGUGACGCCGAAGGAGCAAGCAGCGUCCCGCCCAAGGAUGUAUGCGAAUCUCUCAGGCAAAAAGUACCGCCGCGGGACG